rnacentral:rRNA from 1 species
AGAGUUUGAUCCUGGCUCAGGAUGAACGCUAUCGACAGGCCUAACACAUGCAAGUCGAGGGGCAUCGGGGCGAGGAGCAAUCCUUGCCGCCGGCGACCGGCGCACGGGUGAGUAACGCGUAUGCGACCUGCCCGUUGCAGGGGAUAAUCGGGAGAAAUCCCGUCUAAUACCGCGUAAUGCCGCGGGGCUGCAUGGCCCUGCGGCCAAAGGGAGCGAUUCCGGCAACGGAUGGGCAUGCGUGACAUUAGCUAGUUGGCGGGGCAACGGCCCACCAAGGCGACGAUGUCUAGGGGUUCUGAGAGGAAGGUCCCCCACACUGGUACUGAGACACGGACCAGACUCCUACGGGAGGCAGCAGUGAGGAAUAUUGGUCAAUGGGCGCGAGCCUGAACCAGCCAAGUCGCGUGAGGGAUGACGGCCCUACGGGUUGUAAACCUCUUUUGUCGGGGAGCAAAUUCCGUUACGUGUAACGGAGUCGAGAGUACCCGAAGAAAAAGCAUCGGCUAACUCCGUGCCAGCAGCCGCGGUAAUACGGAGGAUGCGAGCGUUAUCCGGAUUUAUUGGGUUUAAAGGGUGCGUAGGCGGACUGUCAAGUCAGCGGUAAAAUACGGGGGCUCAACCUCCGCCCGCCGUUGAAACUGACGGUCUUGAGUGGGCGAGAAGUAUGCGGAAUGCGUGGUGUAGCGGUGAAAUGCAUAGAUAUCACGCAGAACUCCGAUUGCGAAGGCAGUAUACCGGCGCCCAACUGACGCUGAAGCACGAAAGCGUGGGUAUCGAACAGGAUUAGAUACCCUGGUAGUCCACGCAGUAAACGAUGAAUACUAGCUGUCCGGGGCGAAUGAGCCCUGGGUGGCACAGCGAAAGCGUUAAGUAUUCCACCUGGGGAGUACGCCGGCAACGGUGAAACUCAAAGGAAUUGACGGGGGCCCGCACAAGCGGAGGAACAUGUGGUUUAAUUCGAUGAUACGCGAGGAACCUUACCCGGGCUCAAACGACACAGGAACGUACCUGAAAGGGUUCGGCUCUACGGAGCCUGUGUCAAGGUGCUGCAUGGUUGUCGUCAGCUCGUGCCGUGAGGUGUCGGCUUAAGUGCCAUAACGAGCGCAACCCCCAUCGACAGUUGCUAACAGGUCAGGCUGAGGACUCUGUCGAGACUGCCGGCGCAAGCUGCGAGGAAGGCGGGGAUGACGUCAAAUCAGCACGGCCCUUACGUCCGGGGCGACACACGUGUUACAAUGGCAGGUACAGCGGGAAGCCACCUGGCGACAGGGAGCGGAACCCGAAAGCCUGUCUCAGUUCGGAUUGGAGUCUGCAACCCGACUCCAUGAAGCUGGAUUCGCUAGUAAUCGCGCAUCAGCCAUGGCGCGGUGAAUACGUUCCCGGGCCUUGUACUAACCGCCCGUCA